rnacentral:rRNA from 1 species
UACGGGGGGUGCGAGCGUUGUCCGGAAUUACUGGGCGUAAAGCGCGCGCAGGCGGUCUUCCAAGUCAGUGGUGAAAGCCCGGAGCUCAACUCCGGAACUGCCAUUGAAACUGUUAGACUUGAGGAUGAGAGAGGUGAGUGGAAUUCCCAGUGUAGAGGUGAAAUUCGUAGAUAUUGGGAAGAACACCGGUGGCGAAGGCGGCUCACUGGCUCAUUACUGACGCUCAGGCGCGAUAGCGUGGGGAUCAAACAGG